CCUCUAUAUUUCAUAUUUUUGGCGUGAGAUUGACACGAUUUGAGGUUUCAGAUUUUUGGCGUGAGAUAAAGACGAUUUGAGGUUUCGUUCUUCGGGAUUUCUCGUUCCAGAAUUUGAUAAGAAAGAUGAGUUCUCAAUGAAAUUGUACAGUCAAGAAUUGCAGUUGCGAAAGGGAUAAAAGCAAGUCGCCAGGAGUGUAAGCUUACUCGGAGGUAUUGUACUUAUUUUAUGGUGAUCAACAAAGGCAAAGAAGUUAUUCCACCAUACCAACAUAUAUAAAUUGGUUUUUGUUGGUACUGCUUGAAGAUGCGCACAUUAGUUGAUUACAAUAUCCGGAAAGAAUGGACUUUACAUCUUGUUUUGAAGCUACACAGUAGGACUUAGCUAAAAGUACAACUAGGACAAGAUGAUAUGUCGCACGUGGAUUCUACCAUAAGAAGAUUAAGUUUCCUCCGGAAUACCCAUUCGAACCACCAGGCAUCAGGUAUUAUUUAAGAACAACACAAGCAGAGAAAAAAAUAUGCCAGAAGGGAGGAGAGAUUGGCUCAGGUCUCAGAAAAAGCGUUAGUGGUGCUUAGGUGGACGAUUCUAGUUGUAUGUGCUAUACAAGCUGAUGCACCUUGUGGUCCUUGUCCUGUCUUUGGAUUUUUGUAAAUGUGUACAUAUUUGUACACCAGUAUAAACUAAGAUUUUUUAAAAAAAAUAUGAGAAUCGUAUAAUCAUAUGGGUACACUUUUUAUAGCUCUUGGAAAGAGCAUUACGAAUAUAUAAAGUUUUGCGAA